rnacentral:rRNA from 1 species
GGGAGCUUGCUCCCGUAAUUUAGCGGCGGACGGGUGAGUAACACGUGGGCAACCUGCCUGUAAGACUGGGAUAACUUCGGGAAACCGGAGCUAAUACCGGAUAAUUCUUUUCCUCUCAUGAGGGAAAGCUGAAAGAUGGUUUCGGCUAUCACUUACAGAUGGGCCCGCGGCGCAUUAGCUAGUUGGUGAGGUAAUGGCUCACCAAGGCAACGAUGCGUAGCCGACCUGAGAGGGUGAUCGGCCACACUGGGACUGAGACACGGCCCAGACUCCUACGGGAGGCAGCAGUAGGGAAUCUUCCGCAAUGGACGAAAGUCUGACGGAGCAACGCCGCGUGAGUGAUGAAGGUUUUCGGAUCGUAAAACUCUGUUGUUAGGGAAGAACAAGUACCGGAGUACUGCCGGUCCUUGACG